rnacentral:lncRNA from 1 species
GGGGGGGGGGAGGGGGAGGGGGGGGGGGAGGGAAGGAGAAGAGCCAAGCUGUUCAGAAGACAAGGAAAAGUUAUGUGACUCCUGAUGAAAUAUUCAUACACCAGAAAAUUUCAUUGUCAAAGAAAUACCUCAGCAAACAAGAGAUUCCGAGGGAGUCGAUGUCCUUUGCACGAAGGUCAGGGCAAACAGGCAAGUACAACAUCAAACAUCGUGUUAUGAGGAGAUGACUUCCGAGCAGCUGGUUACCUUCGGUGAUGAAUGAGAAUUGCGGCAGUUUUCAAGAGACCAACAGAAGGCGAGCAGGGUCCUAAUCAGCUAUAAGGUGGGUAGUAAAGAUCUAAGGAGACCUGCACAUUUCCAGAACGGCGGACUUCUCUGACUUUGGAUUCAGUAAUUAUAGCUGUGACAGCUGGACAGCAGGAGGACAUGACUGGAAUAGGUGGGAGUUUUUGACACAUAGCAGUAGAGGAUUCUUGUCUUCCAGGGUGUGGGGGGAGACUUAAAAAACCUACCCCUCUCUACGGCAACAAUGCAGCAGCCACAAGACAUUGUAAAGUGAACCUAUGGAGAAGGACAGAUCUCAGAAAUCAGGUGCAUGAAGAAGCCAUUGAGAGGGGAGACAUAGGAAAAGAAAUAUAGAG